UACGGGGGGGGGCAAGCGUUGUUCGGAAUUACUGGGCGUAAAGGGCUCGUAGGCGGCCAACUAAGUCAGACGUGAAAUCCCUAGGCUCAACCUAGGAACUGCGUCUGAUACUGGAUGGCUUGAAUCCGGGAGAGGGAUGCAGAAUUCCAGGUGUAGCGGUGAAAUGCGUAGAUAUCUGGAGGAAUACCGGUGGCGAAGGCGGCAUCCUGGACCGGCAUUGACGCUGAGGAGCGAAAGCCAGGGGAGCAAACGGG
rnacentral:rRNA from 1 species